CUGGCAGAGUCAGGUAAAACAUGUCUUGUCUCCUCCUCAAACAAAUGGAUAAUUGAUUCAGGUGCCACAGAUCAUAUGACAGGAUCUUAUGACGAAACGGACAUUUGGUAAAGGACAUGUAUCUGAUGGGCUCUAUAUUCUUGACGAGUGGGUACCUCGACCAGUUGCAUGUGUCAGUACUGCCUCUCCUGUUGAAGCUCAUUGUCGGUUAGGACAUCCUUCUCUAUCGGUGUUGAAGAAAUUAUGUCCUCAGUUUGAUACUUUACCUUCAUUAGAUUGUGAGUCGUGUCAUUUUGCGAAGCAUCAUCGUAGUUCUUUAGGCCCAAGGAUUAAUAAACGGGCUGAGUCUUUGUUUGAGUUAGUACAUUCUGAUGUUUGGGGUCCGUGCCCUGUUACUUCUCAAACUGGGUUUCGAUAUUUUGUUACCUUUGUGGAUGAUUUUUCUCGAAUGACUUGGAUUUAUUUUAUGAAGAAUCGUUCAGAAGUGUUUUCCCA